rnacentral:rRNA from 1 species
UACGGGGGGAGCAAACGUUGUUCGGAAUCACUGGGCGUAAAGCGUGCGUAGGCGGUUGGUUAAGUCUGCUGUGAAAGCCCUGGGCUCAACCUGGGAACUGCAGUGGAUACUGGCCAGCUAGAGUGUGAUAGAGGAUGGUGGAAUUCCCGGUGUAGCGGUGAAAUGCGUAGAGAUCGGGAGGAACACCAGUGGCGAAGGCGGCCAUCUGGAUCAACACUGACGCUGAGGCACGAAAGCGUGGGGAGCAAACAGG